CCUGAAGAAGCUCCUCGGCGAGCACCCGGCUGACCCGGGAGGGAGCAGGUUCGACUCCUGCGUUCAGGCCCA
rnacentral:tRNA from 1 species